rnacentral:pre_miRNA from 13 species
GCGCGCCCGUGUCCGGGGUUGGUUGUUGUCUUUGGUUACCCAGCUGUAUGAGCGAGGUGCGAUCCCAUAAAGCUGGCUAACCGAAAGGAAAAACAGCCCGAGUUCACGCCACCGACGC